CAGUAGCCGCGGGAAUACGUAGGGUGCGAGCGUUAAUCGGAAUUACUGGGCGUAAAGCGUGCGCAGGCGGUGAUGUAAGACAGUUGUGAAAUCCCCGGGCUCAACCUGGGAACUGCAUCUGUGACUGCAUCGCUGGAGUGCGGCAGAGGGGGAUGGAAUUCCGCGUGUAGCAGUGAAAUGCGUAGAUAUGCGGAGGAACACCGAUGGCGAAGGCAAUCCCCUGGGCCUGCACUGACGCUCAUGCACGAAAGCGUAGGGAGCAAACAGGAUUAGAUACCCGCGUAGUCCCUGUCUCUUAUAC
rnacentral:rRNA from 1 species